rnacentral:rRNA from 1 species
UACGUAGGGCGCAAGCGUUGUCCGGAAUUAUUGGGCGUAAAGAGCUUGUAGGCGGUUUGUCGCGUCUGCUGUGAAAAUCCGGGGCUCAACCCCGGACUUGCAGUGGGUACGGGCAGACUGGAGUGUGGUAGGGGAGACUGGAAUUCCUGGUGUAGCGGUGGAAUGCGCAGAUAUCAGGAGAAACACCGAUGGCGAAGGCAGGUCUCUGGGCCACUACUGACGCUGAGAAGCGAAAGCAUGGGGAGCGAACAGG